AACCAUGUCUCCUUCUCUCUAACUCCAAUUAGCCAUCAGACCACUCACCACCAGUUCGACCACUCUCCACCAGUUCCAUGACCUCACUCCGCAUAUACCUCACACUACUCAAGACCCACCAUUAAACCCAACUGAAACCUAAUAUUCGUCUCUCUCUGGCAUUCACGACAACAAUUCGGCUUUUUUUUUUUUAUUUGCAUCUGGACACAUUUUACGUACCGGUGUUGUGCAGGAACACUAAUAAAAACCACCAUUAAUAUCUCCUCUAUCGGCAACCCAUCCACCCUGGAGUUCGAUACCACCAAAUGCCACAAGUUUAUCUUUGUUCUUUAUCUCUAGGGUUUUAAAAGAGGUGUUCAGAUCUGGAUGAAGAUGAACAAAAAGAUGAACCAUUUAGAGCCUAAAGGGUUCUCUGGUUCAGUUGUUCAUAAAACGUAUCUAAUAUAUGAUGUUUCAAUUACAUAAUCGUGUUGAGAGGUGAGAUGGGGCUUUUCAGUGGGAGUGACGAUAAGGAUUCUUGGUUGAGGCUGGAGGAGAAAUACAGAGAGGUAUGUUUAUAAAAUCAAACCUCCCAAUCUUCAUCAUCUUAUACAGUACUUUUGUAGAAUUUAAUUUUGUGUGAUAUGGGUUUUGAUUUGGUUUCUUCAGAAUCUGUUUCAAGGUACUUUUCCAUUCCCUUGCUUAUUUGUACUGAUUUGUUUCUAAUGGAUAAAGAAUGCAUGCCAACUGUUUGUGGAAAUGCCCCAGUGAAACGGAUCUAUGAUUUUUCUUUUUUUGCUAUGAAUUAUGGUGUGCAUAUGUAUGAAUUGCAUAUCAAUGACGCAUGAUAUUACUAAAUUACCAAUUUUCAUCUUUAUAUCUUAUCUUUGGAACAUUUUUGCUUUAGAGCCUGAAAAUGAUAGUAGUUUUUUUUUUCUUCCAAUCUUUAUGCUUCUGGUGUAAUGUUGAGUGAUGUGAGAGAGUUGAGAAGGGAAAUGAAAAGUAAAGAUGCUGGUAAGGAACCUAGGUUUAGUAGGUUUAGUUCGAUUCACUUUACAUGUUGUACUUUACCUUUUCCUGGUUUUCUAUAUCUUGAACAUGGUAAUUCAAAUGAUCCUACAUUAUGAUUAAAGAACCGGACAUGGCUUACCUAAGUUAUUGUAUUUAAUGGUUUUGUAUCUGAUCUUACUUGCAGGCGAAGAUCGUUUGUAAUACAACUUCCAAUGUGGUAAUCUCAUUUUUUUUAAUUCAAGUUUACAAGUUGUUUUAAUCAUGUUCAUGUUAAGUUUAUGAGUAAUUGUGCUUAGUAUGACUAUUUGCUGGCAUAAUUUCAUUUACCCGUGUUACUUCAUCUCUCUCUCUCUCUCUCUCUCUCUCUCAUACGUUCACACUAUUUCGCAGGUGUAUUGUAACAUUUUUUAUUUCUCAGAUUUGAUUAUCCAAUUUGUCUCUCAAACCUUGUGUUUGUUUGUUGAUAUUACAGGUGAUCAGGUGUAUUUGACUGAUUAUAGGUUGACCCUUGUGACUGAAGGUGUGCACCUUCACUGCAUUUAAACAUGUAAGCAGUUACCCUAAUUUUUUAUUUUAAAUAUUCAACUGAUCCCUGGGUUUUUUCCUAUUCAUCUUCAUCCAUUCACCAAGUAUAAUUUCAUGAUGCUUCUCUAUCUUUUUGUUUAAUAUAUUUCUUCUAGCGUUUCAUCAUAUGGGUCGACACAAGGUUUUUGAGCAUCUGAGUUCAAAUGGAUUGGACUCAAGUUGAUGAGGUUGCCCAAGUUUCAAAAAAUCUGGUGCUUAUUUGCUAAAGUUUGAUCAACCUCUUCUUAAAUUACAUUGCUACACAUGGUUUGGACUCUAAAGUACAAUGUUAUUUCUGUCUAUAUGUUUUGAUCAUGUGGUUUUUUGUUUAUUUUUGUUUCUUUAUGUAAGACUUUGGCUUCGUCAAACACUUUUUUGCAUUUUUUUAAUUAUUGUUCCCAGCUUAUGAUUGCAUAUAUCUGCAUUGAUUGUAUGUUUUUAUUUACUUUUGGAUAAUGAUGUUUGUUUUUAUGUAAAAAAAAUAACAUUCAAACACAAAGAAAUUUAAAUGUUGUAAUCGGUUAGUCUCUCAAAGUAUACGAUCCUACUCUGUAAAAAACUGGAAGCAAAACGCUAUUGUAACUCAACAAAUUUUCAAUUCUUAUUGUCUUAAAAAGAAUCAUGAUGCAAGAAAUGAGUUGCUGUC
rnacentral:lncRNA from 1 species